rnacentral:lncRNA from 1 species
ACAUAAUUAACUUUUUAUAAGUAGUCCAAAUAUAUACAAUACAUUUAAGUCUGGAACAAAUUUUUAGAAACAACUAUAUGAAAUUUGUGUACUUAAUGAAUGAAUCUUGAAUAAAUUGAAACACAUAUAAAAAAUUCAGUGAUUAAAUCAUAAAAAUAGUGUUUGAAUUAAUUACAUAAUUAAAUCUUUAUAAGUAUUACUAAUAUUUACAAUACAUUUAUCACCCCUAAAAUUAGUGUUUGAAUUACAUAAAUAUGCUUAAUAUAUGUAUGCCCAACCAUAAAAAUAGUGUUUGAAUUAACUACAUAAUUAACUUUUUAUAAGUAGUCCUAAUAUAUACAAUACAUUAAAUCUGGAACAAAUUUUAGUAACAACUGUAUGAAAUUUGUGUACUUAAUAAAUGAAUCUUGAAUAAAUUGAAACACAUAUAAAAAAACAAUGGAUUAAACCAUAAAAUUAGUUUUUGAAUUAAUUACAUAAUUAAAUUUUUAUAGGUAUUACUAAUAUAUACAAUACAUUUAAUUAUGAACAAUUUUUAUUAACAACUUUAUGAAUUUUGUGUAUUGAAUGAAUGAAUCUUGUAUAAAUUGAAACACAUAUAAAAAAAUUAAAUUUAUAAGAGUAUGCAUUUUGUAUGAUUACUGAAUGAAUAAACUAAGUUAUGCACAAUGGAUAUUUAGUAAAGAAAUUCAAAUUAACUUUCUUUUGAUCUAAUUAAGAAAACACACACACCAACAUCAUUGUGUAUUCUAACAGGUGGGCAUCGAUCAUCUACUAAAAUUUUUAUCUCUAAAUCAUUUAUAUUAGUAUCUAUCAUAAGCUGCGAUGUUAUCACGCUUACUAGACCACUAUAAAGACUAGAAGAAUCAUAUAAAAACCCUGCCAUUUGAAAAUCCACAUAAUGCCCUGUUUCAUUAAAAAAAAAAAAAA